rnacentral:rRNA from 1 species
GACGAACGCUGGCGGCGUGCUUAACACAUGCAAGUCGAACGGUGAAGCGCCUUCCUUUUUGGUGGGUGUGGAUGAGUGGCGAACUGGUUAGUAACACGUUAGUAACCUGCCCCCUUCUUCUUGAUAACCGCAUGAAAGUGUUGCUAAUACGGGAUAUUCUGGGUCUGUCGCAUGAUGGGUCUGGGACAGAUAUUGUUUCGGUGGUGGAUGGGCUCGCGGACUAUCAGCUUGUUGGUGGGGUGAUGGCCUACCAAGGCGGUGACGAGUAGCCGGCCUGAGAGGGUGGACGGCCACACUGGGACGGAGACACGCAGCAGACUCCGAGGGGAAGCAGCAGUGAAGAAUAUGGCACGAUCGGAGGAAGCCUGAUGCAGCGACGCCGCGUGAGGGAUGGAGUCCGUCGCGUUGUGAACCUCUUUCGGCAGUGAAGCAGGCCGGCAGCGUUUGUGGGUGGGUUGACGGUAGCUGGAUAAGAAGCGCCGGCUAACUACGUG